GACGAACCGUACGAACGUUAUUCGGAAUCACUGGGCUUAAAGGGUGCGUAGGCGGCGCGGAAAGUUGGGUGUGAAAUCCCUCGGCUCAACCGAGGAACUGCGCUCAAAACUACCGUGCUCGAGGGAGACAGAGGUGAGCGGAACUUAGGGUGGAGCGGUGAAAUGCGUUGAUAUCCUAAGGAACACCGGUGGCGAAAGCGGCUCACUGGGUCUCUUCUGACGCUGAGGCACGAAAGCUAGGGGAGCGAACGGG
rnacentral:rRNA from 1 species